rnacentral:rRNA from 1 species
AAAACGACUCUCGACAACGGAUAUCUCGGCUCUCGCAUCGAUGAAGAACGUAGCGAAAUGCGAUACUUGGUGUGAAUUGCAGAAUCCCGUGAACCAUCGAGUCUUUGAACGCAAGUUGCGCCCGAAGCCGUCAGGCCGAGGGCACGUCUGCCUGGGCGUCACGC